rnacentral:lncRNA from 1 species
AUGCCUCCCAAUGUGACCCUGGUAAGGCUUGUUUACAGCAGUCAGCAGCGCAGAGAGGUGGAGCUGGAGUGGCAGAUGGAGGGAGAGGGAGAAGGAGGAGAGGGAGGAGGGCUGACUGGAUUUAUACUUGAGCGCAGACUAGAGGAGGCACCAGGGAGAAGGAGAGGAGAGGAGGAAAAAGAGAAGGACAGAGAGGAGGCUGGUGCAGAUCCUGCUGACCAAGAGGAGCAGCGACAGGAAAAAAGGAGUAGUUUCUCUCCAUGGAAGCAGGUGGUUGUAUUGGAAGCCAGGGAGAGGGUCCACACGCUGGGCAACAUGACCCCAACAGAUACCUACCAGAUACGCAUCACAGCUGUCAAUCACAGAACCCUCGGACACCCCUCCCCCCCAGAAACACCAGCGGACCCUCCCUUCAGUGCGUACCCUGCUGUGAUUGGAGCUGCCCUUGGAGGGAUGCUCAUCACAACCAUAGCAGCUGUUCUGCUGUUCAUGUACAUAUUCCGCAACUGCAACAACAACCCCAGACUCCAUGACAUGCUAUUCGGAAUGCAGCACAGCUGGUCCAGGGAGAACAUCAACCUCCCUGAUGAUGAGGUGAUGGGAGGAGUUGACGGAGAGGGAGGAGCUACAGAACAUUGCCCCUCCCCUAGCCAAGGUACCCUAAUGUCUCGUUAACAUAAUGAGACAUAAUCUCCCCCCAGGCCCAUGUCAUUAAAGUAGUAAUAUGUAGCAAUUGCUCCGUGAUUGGUUGCCACAAUUCUAUAAUGUUUGUCUAAUUUCAGUUUGAGACAGAACAAAACAAGUGUAGAAUAUUUACAUUGUAGUCAUUUAGCAGAUGCUCUAAUUCAGAGCAUAUCAUUGUAUAC